UGCACGUGGUUGCAGAAAGUGAAGGAUUGUC
rnacentral:piRNA from 1 species